GACGAACGCUGGCGGCGUGCUUAACACAUGCAAGUCGAGCGAGGCCCACCUUUCGGGGUGGUGUCCUAGCGGCGAACGGGUGAGUAACACGUGGGCAACCUGCCCUCAGCUCUGGGAUAAACUCCAAGAAAUUGGGGCUAAUACCGGAUAUGACUGCUGACCGCAUGGUCUGGUGGUGGAAAGAUUUAUCGGCUGGGGAUGGGCCCGCGGCCUAUCCAGCCUUGUUGGUGGGUAGNGGCCGUACCAAGGCGACGACGGGUAGCCGGCCGUGAGAGGGUGACCGG
rnacentral:rRNA from 1 species